rnacentral:rRNA from 1 species
CUACGGGUGGCAGCAGUGGGGAAUCUUAGACAAUGGGCGCAAGCCUGAUCUAGCCAUGCCGCGUGAUCGAUGAAGGCCUUAGGGUUGUAAAGAUCUUUCAGAUGGGAAGAUAAUGACGGUACCAUCAGAAGAAGCCCCGGCUAACUCCGUGCCAGCAGCCGCGGUAAUACGGAGGGGGCUAGCGUUAUUCGGAAUUACUGGGCGUAAAACGCACGUAGGCGGAUUAGCAAGUCAGAGGUGAAAUCCCAGGGCUCAACCUUGGAACUGCCUUUGAAACUGCUAGUCUUGAGUUCGAGAGAGGUGAGUGGAAUUCCGAGUGUAGAGGUGAAAUUCGUAGAUAUUCGGAGGAACACCAGUGGCGAAGGCGGCUCACUGGCUCGAUACUGACGCUGAGGUGCGAAAGCGUGGGGAGCAAACAGGAUUAGAUACCCCCGUAGUC